rnacentral:rRNA from 1 species
UACGUAGGGGGCAAGCGUUGUCCGGAUUUAUUGGGCGUAAAGAGCGUGUAGGCGGCUUGGUAGGUCUCGCGUCAAAACCUGAGGCCUCAACCUCAGUUCGCGUGGGAAACCACCUAGCUAGAGUCCGGAAGAGGAGAACGGAAUUCCCAGUGUAGCGGUGAAAUGCGCAGAUAUUGGGAAGAACACCAGUGGCGAAGGCGGUUCUCUGGGACGGUACUGACGCUGAGACGCGAAAGCGUGGGGAGCGAACAGG